CUACGGGUGGCACCAGUAGGGAAUAUUGGGCAAUGAGCGCAAGCCUGACCCAGCAACGCCGCGUGCGCGAAGAAGGCCUUCGGGUCGUAAAGCGCUUUUCUGAGGGAUGAGAAAGGACAGUACCUCAGGAAUAAGCCUCGGCUAACUACGUGCCAGCAGCCGCGGUAAAACGUAGGAGGCGAGCGUUAUCCGGAUUUACUGGGCGUAAAGCGUGUGCAGGCGGUCUGGCAAGUUGGAUGUGAAAGCUCCCGGCUCAACUGGGAGAGGUCGUUCAAAACUACCGGACUAGAGUGUAUCAGAGGGAGAUGGAAUUCCCGGUGUAGUGGUGAAAUGCGUAGAUAUCGGGAGGAACACCAGUGGCGAAAGCGAUCUUCUGGGAUACUACUGACGCUCAGACACGAAAGCUAAGGUAGCGAACGGGAUUAGAUACCCCGGUAGUC
rnacentral:rRNA from 1 species